rnacentral:rRNA from 1 species
AACGUAGGACGCAAGCGUUAUCCGGAGUUACUGGGCGUAAAGCGCGGGCAGGCGGUCUUGCCAGUCUGAUGUGAAAUCUCUCCGCUCAACGGAGAGCAGCCAUUGGAAACUACAAGACUGGAGUCUGACAGAGGUAGGCGGAAUUCCGGGUGGAGUGGUGAAAUGCGUAGAGAUCCGGAAGAACACCGGUGGCGAAGGCGGUCUGCUGGGCAGUUGCUGACACUGAGGCGCGACAGCGUGGGGAGCAAACAGG